UACAGAGGUCUCAAGCGUUGUUCGGAUUCAUUGGGCGUAAAGGGUGUGUAGGUGGCGCGCUAAGUCGGGUGUGAAAUUUCGGAGCUUAACUCCGAAACUGCAUUCGAUACUGGCGUGCUUGAGGACUGGAGAGGAGACUGGAAUUCAUGGUGUAGCAGUGAAAUGCGUAGAGAUCAUGAGGAACACCGGUGGCGAAGGCGGGUCUCUGGGCCGAUACUGACGCUGAGGAGCGAAAGCGUGGGGAGCGAACAGG
rnacentral:rRNA from 1 species